GAUGAACGCUGGCGGCGUGCUUAACACAUGCAAGUCGAACGAUGAAGCCCAGCUUGCUGGGUGGAUUAGUGGCGAACGGGUGAGUAACACGUGAGUAACCUGCCCUUGACUCUGGGAUAAGCCCGGGAAACUGGGUCUAAUACCGGAUAGGAGCGCCUGUCGCAUGACGGGUGUUGGAAAGAUUUUUCGGUCAUGGAUGGACUCGCGGCCUAUCAGCUUGUUGGUGAGGUAAUGGCUCACCAAGGCGACGACGGGUAGCCGGCCUGAGAGGGUGACCGGCCACACUGGGAUUGAGACACGGCCCAGACUCCUACGGGAGGCAGCAGUGGGGAAUAUUGCACAAUGGGCGGAAGCCCUGAUGCAGCGACGCCCGCGUGAGGGAAUGACGGGCC
rnacentral:rRNA from 1 species